GCUUUAACCUUGAUGCAAGUGAAACAUUAGUCGAUAUGUUAAAAAAAGGUGUGAUCACAGAUAAACACACCAACUUCACCAGUCUCUGCUUUGACAUGAGGGAGUGGUACUUCAGCGGUUGACAUAUAGCCACAUAUCUGUCAUAGGCCAUGACUGUGAGAAAUGAUAGAUCAGCACAGGUGAAUGAGUUCACGACCAGAGACUGAACAAGACAUCCAUAAUAAGAGAUAACAUGAACUGGAGACAGAAGAUCCCAGAGAAACUUUGGAAAGAAACCAGUUGAUCCGUACAGCCCAUUAAAGCAGAAUGUACACAGUAGAAUAUACAUGGGUUCAUGCAGGUUUUUAUCUAUGAUAAUCGUCACAAUGAGAACUACAUUCCCAAACAGAAUUGAACAGUAACAAAGUAAAGUGAGAGAGAAAAUGACAGAGCGAUAUUUCCUUGUCUCAUUAAGACCUGAGAGAAAAAACACUGAAGUGUUUUCCAUCAAGACAAGCUGUUUUAUGGGAGGGGAUAACCCAGCCCCGAAUAGUCCCAGCUAUCUCUUCUCACAUUUAUACAUAUAUAUUCUCAGAUUACAUCAACUAAAGGAGGGAAUUCAGAUGGACCAAUCAGUACAGUUUGCAUGUCUGUCACCUGGAUACAAACAAAAUGAACAUUAAAAUAAGUAGAAUUUGGAUUCUGAGACAUCUUUUAAAUCCUGUUUGAGUCAUAAAUCCAGAAAUUUCAGAGACAUUAUUAAUUAUUGGAAACAUUAAACCUAAGUUAAAAUGACUACAGACAUUUGUCCUCUGGUUUUCUUUUCCAUCUAAAAAAUGUUUUUAUAGCAAAAACAUGACAAGCAUACCAGAAGUGUGCAUAUUACAAUACAUUUUAUUGGAAAGAGAAGCAAAAAUCAAUUCUAAAGGUGUUCAAAGCAUUGAUCCACAUUUAAUUUACAACCCCAGUGGAUUGGAAACAAAACAGGGCCAAAUCUUCAGCUGUAAGGCUUGGACCUACCCCCUUCCCACUAAUUUCAGACUUUAAAAUUAAGGAUAUAAAAAUCUCAGAUCUUGUUGCUGAUGGUCUAAUGUGAUUUUGUAUUUCAUUAACACUCAAUUUUGGUCCAUUUCAUAAAUAUCAAUGAACUCCUCAUAGGAGCUUUAAAGUCAGGUAAAGUGGAUGUUUUCUGGUCUUGUUGGUGUGUUAAUCUGUUGUGGUCAACUUUAUAGUCUAUGUCAUCUUUUUGUAUGCUACAGUUUUCAUCCUCAUGUGACACACAGUAGAAAAAGUUUGAGAACCAACUCUUUGAACCCAUUUUAGCGGCUUGAUCAUCUGAGCUUGUGCAGUGUCUACCCUAUGGGAGCCCAUCUAGAGUAAUGCUCAUGGUCAGUGUUUGCAUGUGGGAUUAAUGUAGCAGAGUAACACUUUUUUAGAUAAAUAAGACUCUAUUGCUUUAAUGUGUCCAUUAAUAAGGUCUUAUGUUUUUAGGUUGGUUUAUAACACAAACAUGGGCAUCCUGAUUGAGUUGAAAAAUAAGUCUAUUAAUAUAACAGCAGGGGUACUUAUUGGUGUGCCAUUGAACAAAAAUAAUUCCUUGAAUGACUUUGGUUUUUAUAUUAAUUCAGACCACUGGCCUUACAUUUUUAAUCUGUAUGAUACUUCUGUUUUUAAUUUGAGCUUCCAGGUACAAACUUGUGAUUCUUCUGCUCUCAUUCAAACACACUCAAGCACAAAUGCAAAUUAUGUAGACACUUGGAAAUGGCUCUCAAUUCAUUUAAUAAUAAUAAUAAUAAUAUCUUACAUUUAUAUAGCGCCUUUCAGGAUACCCAAGGCGCUUAACAACACACUACAAAAACUAAAUACCAAAAGCCUGGAUAAACAAGUGUCGCUUCAGAGCAGACUUGAAAGAGUCAAGAGUCUGUGCUUGGCGAAUCUCAGAGGGGAGAGAGUUCCAGAGAGGAGGGGCGGCCACACUGAAGGCUCUGUCACCAAGGGAUCGCCUUUUCCCAUAGCGGACAGUGAGGAGCCCAAGGUCUGCAGACCGCAGAGUACGCGCCGGGAUGUAGUCCUUGAGGAGGUCAGAGAGAUAGUAUGGGGCUAGGGCAUGGAGAGCUUUGUAGGUGAGCAGGAGGAGUUUGUAGAUGAUGCGAUAUUUGAUGGGAAGCCAGUGGAGGCGUUUGAGGGUGGGGGUGAUGUGCUGCCAAGGUUUGGUCCGGGUGAGCACUCUGGCAGCUGAAUUUUGAACGUACUGCAGACGGUCCAAGUCUUUUUUAGGAAGUCCGAACAGGACACCGUUGCAGUAGUCUAAGCGGGAGGAUACAAAGGCAUGGAUGAGGGUUUCUGCAACAGGGUCUGAGAGGGACGAGCGGAGUCUGGAGAUGGUCUUAAGGUGGAAAAAGGCUGACUUAGUUACGGAUUUAAUGUGGGUUUGGAAUGAGAGGGCAGAGUCCAAGAUGACGCCCAGGUUGCGCACCUCGGAGGAUGGGGAGAUGGAGUAGCCGUCAAUAUGGAGGAGGAAAUCACCCAUUCUGCGAAGCAGUGCCUUGGGAGCCAUGAGCAAGAGCUCUGUUUUCUUGGUGUUGAGUUGGAGUAGGUUGGUGGUUUUUAUUUCUUGUAGGCAGUUGACAAUGGGGAGUGGAGGGAGCAGAGUGGUGGGUGUGGUGCUGAGAUAUAUCUGUGUAUCAUCGGCGUAACAGUGGAAAUCAAGGCCGUGCUUACGGAUGAUCUGGCCGAGCGGGAGCAUGUAUAUGGUGAAGAGGAGUGGACCAAGUACGGAAUCCUGUGGGACUCCGUGUGGAACUGGGGCCGGGUGGGACUUGGAACCAUGCAUGGAGACAAACUGCAGGCGGUUGGACAGAUAGGAGUGAAACCAGGAGAGCGCAGAUCCAGUGAUAUUGAGGUGUGUAGAGAGGCGGUUGAGGAGGAUGGAGUGAGAGACUGUGUCAAAGGCUGCAGAGAGGUCCAACAGGAUGAGGAUGCUGAUGUUGCCGGAGUCAGCCGCGAUGAGGAGGUCAUUGAUGAUUUUAACCAAGGCGGUCUCAGUGCUGUGGUGCGCUCUGUAGGCAGACUGGAAGGGUUCGGAGAGUUUGUGGUCGGACAUGUGCUGCUGGAGCUGCACGGCGACUACUCUUUCCAGGGUCUUGCUGAGGAACGGGAGAUUGGAAAUCGGCCGGUAGUUGGUAAGGUCGUCGGGGUCCAGACCAGGCUUUUUCAGUAUGGGGGUGACAGAUGCAGUUUUGAAACUGGUGGGAACCAUGCCGGAUAGCAGAGAGGAGUUGAUGAUGUUAGUAAUGAUGGGAGCCAGGGUCGGUAGACAGGCCUUUACCAGCGUCGUGGGCAUAGGGUCCAGGGAGCAACUGGAGGCCUUGGCUUUGGUGACCAGUUCGGUGGUAAGGGAUUCAUCCACUGGAGUGAAGGAGGUGAACGGGGGACACGUGGCAGAGGGGGCAGUGUCCUGCAGCUGAGGUGUAUGCAGACAGGUGGUGGAUGUCUGGAGCUGCUGAUGGAUGGUAUCCACCUUGUCCUGGAAGAAGUUCAGGAAUCUAUGGCAGAGGUCAGAAUCACCAGAAGCUGGAAUGGGUGGGAGGGGGCUGAGAAGCUUGUUUACUGUG
rnacentral:lncRNA from 1 species